rnacentral:rRNA from 1 species
CGGGAAGAUUUCGGUCGGACCAAGUGCAUGCCUAGUGGCGGACGGGUGAGUAACGCGUGGGUAACCUGCCUUACACAGGGGGAUAACACUUAGAAAUAGGUGCUAAUACCGCAUGAGCGCACAGGACCGCAUGGUCGAGUGUGAAAAACUGAGGUGGUGUAAGAUGGACCCGCGUCUGAUUAGCUAGUUGGUGAGGUAACGGCCCACCAAGGCGACGAUCAGUAGCCGGCCUGAGAGGGUGGACGGCCACAUUGGGACUGAGACACGGCCCAAACUCCUACGGGAGGCAGCAGUGGGGGAUAUUGGACAAUGGGGGGAACCCUGAUCCAGCGACGCCGCGUGAGUGAAGAAGUAUCUCGGUAUGUAAAGCUCUAUCAGCAGGGAAGAAGAAAUGACGGUACCUGAGUAAGAAGCCCCGGCUAACUACGUGCCAGCAGCCGCGGUAAUACGUAGGGGGCAAGCGUUAUCCGGAAUUACUGGGUGUAAAGGGAGCGUAGACGGUGAUGUAAGUCUGGAGUGAAAGGCGGGGGCCCAACCCCCGGACUGCUCUGGAAACUAUGUGACUGGAGUGCAGGAGAGGUGAGCGGAAUUCCUAGUGUAGCGGUGAAAUGCGUAGAUAUUAGGAGGAACACCAGUGGCGAAGGCGGCUCACUGGACUGUAACUGACGUUGA